CAUCGAUGAAGAACGUAGCGAAAUGCGAUACUUGGUGUGAAUUGCAGAAUCCCGUGAACCAUCGAGUCUUUGAACGCAAGUUGCGCCCGAAGCCUUUGGCUGAGGGCACGUCUGCCUGGGCGUCACGCAUCGC
rnacentral:rRNA from 1 species